GGGGAAUAUUGCACAAUGGGCGCAAGCCUGAUGCAGCAACGCCGCGUGAAGGAAGACGGUUUUCGGAUUGUAAACUUCUGUUCUUGGUGAAGAAUAAUGACGGUAGCUAAGGAGCAAGCCACGGCUAACUACGUGCCAGCAGCCGCGGUAAUACGUAGGUGGCAAGCGUUGUCCGGAAUUACUGGGUGUAAAGGGAGCGCAGGCGGGUGAUCAAGUCAGCUGUGAAAACUACGGGCUUAACCCGUAGACUGCAGUUGAAACUGUUCAUCUUGAGUGAAGUAGAGGUUGGCGGAAUUCCGAGUGUAGCGGUGAAAUGCGUAGAUAUUCGGAGGAACACCGGUGGCGAAGGCGGCCAACUGGGCUUUAACUGACGCUGAGGCUCGAAAGUGUGGGUAGCAAACAGGAUUAGAUACCCUGGUAGUCCACACCGUAAACGAUGAUUACUAGGUGUGGGGGGUCUGACCCCUUCCGUGCCGGAGCUAACGCAAUAAGCAAUCCACCUGGGGAGUACGACCGCAAGGUUGAAACUCAAAGGAAUUGACGGGGACCCGCACAAGCAGUGGAUUAUGUGGUUUAAUUCGAAGCAACGCGAAGAACCUUACCAGCACUUGACAUCCAACUAACGAAAUAGAGAUAUAUUAGGUGCCCUUCGGGGAAAGUUGAGACAGGUGGUGCAUGGUUGUCGUCAGCUCGUGUCGUGAGAUGUUGGGUUAAGUCCCGCAACGAGCGCAACCCUCGCCAUUAGUUGCUACGCAAGAGCACUCUAAUGGGACCGCUACCGACAAGGUGGAGAAAGGUGGGGACGACGUCAAAUCAUCAUGCCCCUUAUGUGCUGGGCUACACACGUAAUACAAUGGCCAUCAACAGAGAGAAGCAAUACCGCGAGGUGGAGCAAAACUUCAAAAAUGGUCUCAGUUCGGACUGCAGGCUGCAACCCGCCUGCACGAAGUUGGAAUUGCUAGUAAUCGUGGAUCAGCAUGCCACGGUGAAUACGUUCCCG
rnacentral:rRNA from 1 species